rnacentral:rRNA from 1 species
AUACGUAGGGGGCGAGCGUUGUCCGGAAUGAUUGGGCGUAAAGGGCGCGUAGGCGGCCCGGUAAGUCUGGAGUGAAAGUCCUGUUUUUAAGAUGGGAAUUGCUUUGGAUACUGUCGGGCUUGAGUGCAGGAGAGGUAAGUGGAAUUCCCAGUGUAGCGGUGAAAUGCGUAGAGAUUGGGAGGAACACCAGUGGCGAAGGCGACUUACUGGACUGUAACGGACGCUGAGGCGCGAAAGCCAGGGGAGCGAACGGGAGUAGAUACCCCGGUAGUCCUGGCCGUAAACGAUGAAUGCUAGGUGUGGGUGUCGAGAGGCAUCCGUGCCGGAGUUAACGCGAUAAGCAUUCCGCCUGGGGAGUACGGUCGCAAGAUUGAAACUUAAAGGAAUUGACGGGG